AGCAGUGAGGAAUAUUGCGCAAUGGGGGAAACCCUGACGCAGCAACGCCGCGUGUGGGAAGAAGGCCUUCGGGUCGUAAACCACUUUUACUCGGGACGAAAAAGGGAUAUCAAAUAAAUAUCCCCGAUGACGGUACCGUGAGAAUAAGCCACGGCUAACUCUGUGCCAGCAGCCGCGGUAAGACAGAGGUGGCAAGCGUUGUUCGGAAUUACUGGGCGUAAAGAGUCUGUAGGUGGUUUGUCAAGUCUUUGGUGAAAGGCCGUAGCUUAACUAUGGGAAUGCCAAAGAGACUGGCAGGCUGGA
rnacentral:rRNA from 1 species